rnacentral:lncRNA from 1 species
GCAGAAACUCAGUUACAUCAGAUCACUGAGCCAGGCACUUGGCUUAAACAAGUGACCCUUCUACAGGGUCUUUCUUUGACCUCUUUGAUUUUGACUCGUUUGAGUCUCAGGGACCAUGGCUCUGAAGUACACUCCAAACAUUGGGAAUUCUCCUGCUUAUAAUAAUCAUAAUAAACUCCCAGGUGUACUGUAUUCUCUCAAAGGCUUUAAAUGCAUGUUUGCAGCUGCUAAAUACCAAGUAAAUUUCAGAAAAGAAACAAAGAGGAUAACCAACUUAAAUGAGUGUCACAGAGAUUAAACAACAACAACAAAAAGUCAUGGCCCAGGAAAUACCACCCGAAGGAUCAAAGUUUACAAAGCCUGCAAGAACUACAGAGUGGCAUCUGUAGUGAGAGUGGUGCUAAUGCUUAAAAUUUUGAUCAUAUCUCUCAGUUAAGCUAAGAUCCUGAUCUGGAAUUAUAGAGUUGUUAAAGAUAAAACAGCAUGAGUUCCCCUUGUGGCUCAGCAGUAACAAACCCAGCUAGUAUCCAUGAGUAUGUGGGUUCAAUCCCUGGCCCCUCUCAGUGGGUUAAGGAUCCGGCAUUGUCAUGAGCUGUGGUGUAGGUCACAGGCAUGGCCUGGAUCUGGCAUUGCUGAGGCUGUGGCACAGGCUGGCAGCUGCAGCUUGCAGCAGCUCAAAUUUUACCCCUAGCCCGGGAAUUUCCAUAUGCCGCAGGCGCAACCCUUAAAAAAAAAAGAAAGAAAAGAAACAAAGGGCCCCAAAUGGAAGUGACUUGUGUUAGGCUCAUGACAGCAGACCAAGCCUUAAUAUCUAACUACUUUCCCAGAAAUGUGACCUUUAACUAGCCACCCUGGAAUUUCCUUUCUGGUCAGCUCUAAGAAAUAUGCUAAUAGGCCCCUUCCAUUUCCAUUCCCUAAAACAGUGCAUUCUUUGCUAAUAAUUUAGUUUUCCUUUUUGCUCCCUCUCUCUCUUUACAAACGUUUCCUUUUCUGCAGCUCAGUGGAGCCCCUUUCUAUUGCUAGAUUGGAUGCUUUCUGAUUCAUGAAUCAUUUAAUAGAACCCAGAAGAUCUUCACAUUUACUCAGCUGAAUUUUUGUUUUUUAACGCCCAUUGGCUUUCAAAGCUAGGUGAUUUGGGGACACAUCCAUUAGGUGGCAGCUGUAAAAGUUGGGGUGCUAGAGUGUGUGGAAAAGGUCCUUCUAGGGUGGUGCUGGUGGCCCUUAUAUUAUUGGAGCGAGCCAGAGGGAGAAGGUGAAGUGCCCACCAGCUCUUUCCAGCUGGAUCCAGGUAUCCCAGCCCGCACCUAGAUGCAUGCUAUUCAGAGGACAGAUCCUCCGUCAGUGGCCUGUAAAGUAUGCAGUCAAACCUCUUCCAGAGAAAGACUAGGAGAUGGGUAUUUUCGCCUGUACCCUCCGCAUUGAGUUCUGGGGCAUAGACACAAGAGCGCUAUCUUUGUUUGCUAGGGUCCUUUCAGGUCAUGAAUGUGAGCCCCAUUGGUUUUCAGCUGGGUUAUUUGGGGACCAUCCCACAGGUGGCAGGCUUAAAAGUUCAGGCACUAGAUGUAUGGUUUGCUCCUUAUGAAGAAGCUGGGAGUGCAGGUUUCCCUCCUGACUGUACAGUGCUAUGCUGGGAGUAAGUUUUAUGGUGAGAGUGUGCCUACCUUUUUUAAAUGUGGGUGUUUUUUCUAUAACCCAGUGUGUUUAGAUCACUCUGCUGUUUCUGGAUGUCUCUGAGAGAACUGCUUCAUGUGUAGCUAUAUAUUUGGUCCUGCUGUGGGAGGAAGGAAAUUCAGGAGUCUCCUUCCUGUAUUGCCAUCUUGGUUCGGAAUUCCCAAAUGUUUCUCAGGAAAUGUAAAUUCUCCAGUAUUUCUAUCCUCCUCCCAAAUUUUAAGAACAUUAGUAUGCUUUCACACUCCUAGUCUAUUUUUGGUUAGAAUUUUAUAAUUUGUUUUAAUGUAAAAAAAAAAAAAAGUUCAAGUAGUUAGCAUUUUUAUGGUCAUUAUUUAAAUUUUAUCAGUAUCUGUGUCACCAUAUUAUCCUGUUCCUUCUCUUGGUGAAAUUUAUCUUUUUAAGAGUUCUUGAAGUGAGGGUUUGUGGGUUUAAUUUUCACAUGCCUAAAAAUGUCUUCAUUUUCACUCCCUCCAUAAUGGUAAUUUAACUGGGUAUGAAAUUCCAGGCUGAGAAUUAAUUUCCCUCAGCACUCCAACAAUAUUACUUUAUUUUCUACCCACAUUCAUUCUUUCUUUUCUGAAAUCUACCAUUUAUCCAACUGCUGUGUCUUUGAAGGCAAGCUUUCUUUUCCCACUAAUAGUUUUUAAUAUUAUAUUCUUGACAUUUUUUUUCAUUUUCACUAUUUUGUCUAGAAAUUGACAUAUUUUUAUUAAUUCUGUUUGAUAUUCAGUGUGUUUUAUGAUCUGAAAAUUUGUACUUUCCUUCUUCAGAUGUUCUCCAUCAUUCACAUGUAAGGUUGCUGUGAGCUACUUUUAGGUAUUUCCUUUUGUUUUUAUUUUCCCUUUACCUGACAAUAACCUCUCCAGGUCUAAUAGUUUUAUGGUAGGUUCCAUCUAGUAUACCAAGUGCCCAGUCUUAAACAAGAUCUUAUAAUGGUAAAUCAGGAUUCCCAUCCAAAAGUGAAUUGUGGAGAUCUCUAGGAAGUUUAUUUCCAUCACUAGACUAUAUUAGAAAGCAUGUUGUUAAAGAAGGCUGCUAAGUCAUGAAAUAAAAACAGCAUAACACAUACAUGGCAUAAUGAAAAGUGAUUUCCUCACCUUCAAAAGCAUCCCCAGUUUUCAUGUUACUCUACAAGGUUCAGAUAUACAUAGAUUAUAAAUGCACAUGUAUCUCCAGUGUUUUAUUUUAAUGUAUAAUAAAAUAUUAUGUUUUAAGUUAAACAUAUUAGACUGGAAAACAUCAGUUAACAUUCCAGGAAUAAAGAAGCAGCAAGAGCCUGUCAGCUUUCACUUCAGUAAGAGCAGAGUUGUUGCCCACAUCAGAUGAAUGUAUUGUCUACAAGAGUUGGCAAUAUAGCCAAUAUUAACAAAAGCAUCAAGUUCAGGACAUCAUUGGUCUGAACCUGUCAUUGCUUGUGACAAAAAGUUCAUAUUCAAAAAUUAUUUUAAUAUGUAAAAUAGAGAUUGACAUCGCUAAUAUAUUUAUGCUGUUGUCAUCUGGAUCAACUGGACAUUAUUAGAAAAUUUUGAAUAAUACUAUUUUUAUAUUUACUUCUUCCCCAUAAGCUAGUGAUUUGUUCAUAUUAAUGUAAUGAUAAAAAAGAACAUGUUUUAAUCUACUCACUAUCGCCUGCUUUUUCUUUAUUUCUUAAAUGUAAAUCAGUCUUGCUAAAAGCAUUUUUAAUUACCCAAGUGUAUCUGACACUUCUUGAGUGCCACUAAAAAUCUUUUCAGCUUCAACCCUCAUUCCAGCCACUGCUGCAACCACCUGGUUUUUUCAUCCCUGGGGAACUCCCCCCUCUCCCCCCGACCCACUCCCAAGCUUACUGUACCCUACCCCUUGCUUCAUCUUAUCACAAUCCAGAAGCAGGGGAUUUAACAUCACAUGGGCCAUCCUUGACCAGUGGAGAGAGAAGUUAAUAGAUAGAGGUUUCUCCUUUCUCCUUGGAUGGUUUUUAGACAUAAUUUCUCCCACAGGAUUAAGCAACCAGUCACGAGUAACAGUGGCCAUUGUAUUAGCUUCAUUGUAUUGGCUUGCUUUCUCUCUUCAUUCCCUUUCUCUCUCACUUCUGCUCCUAGGAUCACGUGUUUUACUCAGGCUCUGUUUUCAGGGAAAUUUCUGCUAAAAUAAAGAUGCUUUUUAAGAACCUAACCAUUGAGGAGUUCCCAUCAUGGCUCAGUGGUUAACAAAUCCGACUAGGAACCAUGAGGUUGCGGGUUCGAUCCCUGGCCUUGCUCAGUGAGUUAAGGAUCCAGUGUUGCUGUGAGCUGUGGUGUAGGUUGCAGACACGGCUCGGAUCCUGCGUUGCUAUGGCUCUGGUGUAGGC